CUCAGUGACCAUAGAGCAAUGGGAUCACGGCAUGGGGGGGUUGGAGGAGACGUAAAGGAUCACAGAGUCAUGGAAUAGGGGGCGUUGGAAGGGAUCCUAUAGGUUGUGGAGCAAUGGGAUCACAGCAUGGGGGGGUUGGAGGAGACAUAAAGGAUCAUGGAAUAGGAGGUGUUGGAAGGGAUCCUAUAGGUUGUGGAGCAAUGGGAUCACUGCAUGGGGGGGUUGAUGGGAUCUCAAUGACCACAGAGCAAUGGGAUCAUGGCAUGGGGGGGUUGGAGGAGAUGUAAAGGAUCACAGAAUCAUGGAAUAGGGGGCGUUGGAAGGGAUCCUAUAGGCCAUGGAGCAAUAGGAUCACGGCACGGGGGAGUUGAUGGGACCUCAAUGACCACAGAGCGAUGGGAUCACAGCAUGGGGGGGUUGGUGGGACCUCAAUGACCAUAGAGCUAUAGGAUCACGGCAUGGGGGGGGUUGGAGGAGACGUAAAGGAUCAUGGAGUCGUGGAAUAGGGGGUGUUGGAAGGGAUCCUAUAGGUUGUGGAGCAAUGGGAUCACAGUGUGGGGGGGUUGAUGGGACCUCAGUGACCACAGAGCUAUAGGAUCACAGCAUGGGGGGGUUGGAGGAGACAUAAAGGAUCGCGGAGUUGUGGAGGUGUUGGAAGGGAUCCUAUAGGUUGUGGAGCAAUGGGAUCACAGCUUGGUGGGGUUGGUGGGACAUCAGUGACCACAGAACUAUGGGAUCAGAGCAUGGGGGGGGGUUGGUGGGACCUCAAUGACCAUAGAGCUGUAGGAUCAUAGCAUGGUUGGGUUGGAGGAGACGUAAUGGAUCAUGGAGUCAUGGAAUAGGGGGCAUUGGAAGGGAUCCUAUAGGCUAUAGAGCAAUGGGAUCACAGCAUGGGGGGGUUGGUGGGACCUCUAUGACCAUAAAGCUAUAGGAUCACGGCAUGGUGGGGUUGGAGGAGACAUAAAGGAUCGCGGAGUUGUGGAAUAGGGGGCAUUGGAAGGGAUCCUAUAGGCCAUGGAGCGAUGGGAUCACAGCAUGGGGGGGUUGGAGGAGACAUAAAGGAUCACGGAGUCAUGGAAUAGGGGGUGUUGGAAGGGAUCCUAUAGGCUAUAGAGCAAUGGGAUCACAGCAUGGGGGGGUUGGUGGGACCUCAAUGACCUCAGAGCAAUGGGAUCACAGCGUGGUGGGGUUGGGAGGGACCUCAAAGAUCACGGAAUGGGGGGAUUGGAAGGGAUCCUAUAGGUCAUAAAGCAAUGGGGUCAUAUCGUGGUUGGGUUCGAGGGGACAUAAAGGACCAUGGAGUGGUGGGGUGGGAGGGAUCCUAUGGGUCACAGAACCAUGCAGUGGUGGGGGUGGGAGGGAUCCUAUGGGUCAGAGCAAAGGGAGCACAGCAUGUGGGGCCGGAGGGGACCUAAAGGGGCGCGGAGUGAUGGGAUGGGGGCGUUGGAGGGGAUGCCGGGGGUCAGAACUGUGGGGUCACAGCACGGCUGCGUCGGAGGGGACGGAGCUCAGCGUCACCGCGGGUUGGGGACACUCAGCGGUGUCACUGCAUUGGGGACACAUUGGUGUCACACUGUUGGGGACACAUUGGUGUCACUGCAUGGGGACACACAUUGGUGUCAUUGCAUUGGGGACACAUUGGUGUCACACUGUUGGGGUCACUCAGCGGUGUCACUGCAUUGGGGUCACUCAGUGGUGUCAUUGCAUUGCAGACACUCAGUGGUGUCACACUGUUGGGGACACAUUGGUGUCACUGCUGGGGACACAUUGGUGUCACACUGUUGGGGUCACUCAGUGGAAUCAUUGCAUUGGGGACACAUUGGUGUCACUGCAUUGGGGACACAUUGGUGUCACUGUUAGGGUCACUCAGUGGUGUCACUAUUUGGGACACAUUGGUGUCACACUGUUGGGGACACACAUUGGUGUCACUGUUGGGGACACAUUGUGGUGUCACUGCAUUGGGGACACAUUGGUGUCACUGUUGGGGACACAGUGGUGUCACUAUUUGGGACACAUUGGUGUCACACUGUUGGGGUCACUCAGUGGUGUCACUGCACUGGGGACACAUUGGUGUCACUGCAUUGGGGACACACAUUGGUGUCAUUGCAUUGGGGACACAUUGGUGUCACACUGUUGGGGACACUCAGUGGUGUCACUGUUGGGGACACAUUGGUGUCACUGUUAGGGUCACUCAGUGGUGUCCCUAUUUGGGACACAUUGGUGUCACACUGUUGGGGUCACUCAGUGGUGUCACUGCAUUGGGGACACAUUGGUGUCACACUGUUGGGGUCACUCAGUGGUGUCACUGCAUUGGGGACACAUAUUUCCCCCCCCCCCCCCCCCCCCCCCCCCCGGUGUGGGGACGGCUGUGGGGAUGGCGGUGUGCAGAGAUGGCUCCAAUUGGGGGUCCCCAAAUGAGGGCCAAUGGGGAAACUGAGGCAGAGGGCGGCGCUCCGUUGGGGGCCGCGCAGCCCCACGGCUGCUAUGGGGCGCACGGGGGGUCCUCCCCAGCACUGUGUGCCCACAUCGCUGCGGGGGGGGG
ensembl:lncRNA